UACGUAGGGAGCAAGCGUUGUCCGGAAUCAUUGGGCGUAAAGCGCGCGUAGGUGGCUUCGUAAGUCCGUUGUGAAAGUCAAAGGCUCAACCUUUGAAAGCCGAUGGAUACUGCGGAGCUAGAGUACGGAAGAGGCGAGUGGAAUUCCUGGUGUAGCGGUGGAAUGCGCAGAUAUCAGGAAGAACACCCGUGGCGAAAGCGGCUCUCUGGAACGGUACUGACGCUGAGACGCGAAAGCGUGGGGAGCGAACAGG
rnacentral:rRNA from 1 species